AUCAGUUAGGGCCAAUUUAACACACUCUAAUUGCCUUUCAGACCUCAGCUGUGUGUGUGAGUGUGAUCAAGGCCUGUUAAUGAGAACAGGUGAUGCACUCUGGGGGUUUUAGGUUAGAAAAUGUUUGUUUACCUGUGCAGGAUUCUUGAUUGGUUGGGAGAAAGUGAUGGAAAUGUUUAAAUUGUGCCCUACAAUCAGUUCUGAGGAUGACUGGACAGGUUUCACUAAGGAAUUAAGAGUUUGUGUAAUCAAUGGGAGUGAGUACAUUAAAGGCUAAUUCAGUAUGGAGGUGGUAGUUCUGUUGUUUUGCAUGCUGGUGGGGUUGGAGGCGUAUCCGAUCCCUGACAGCGGCAGUAAUGAGAUAAGCACUGCAUGCUGCUCUGAUGAAUGGUGUCCUCCAGCAACCAGAUGUUUACCAUACACAUGUUCUGCAGUGUUCUUUAGGGUUUACUUGGUUCUCAUGAAUGUAAUGUAAAUGUUCUGCAGGCUCUGAUGCAGCUACACCAGUUCUAUGGAGCUUUACAACAUCAGCUGAUGAAUUACAGACCUCCAGCAGGACCCCCCAAAAAGGACCCAUCGGUGCCUCCGCUCCUCUCUAACCUCCACACACUGAUGAGACUCCAGCACCACAACUCAGAAGAAGGAAACAUGCCAAACCUCGCAGCAAUGUUUCCUCAGUACUUUCCCACAGGCGUCCAGCCUGCUCCUCCACCUGCUGGCUCUGAUGAGAACGAGAUGGAGGAGGCAGAGCCAGCAGAGCCUUCGCCAACAGAGAGCCUUCCUGCCACACCUACAGGACCAUCCCCCCCUGAACUGCACCCAGGCACUGUGGUCAUACCUUCUCCAUCUGAAGCACCUGGACCUGUUGUCGUUCAAGGAAACACGGUGAUACAGGGCCCAGGUGUGGUACCGGUACCGGUACCAGUAUCUUUCACCAGGUUUAGGUCCGAGUGUUGGGCCUGGACCAGGUGUGGUACAAGCUCCAGAUUUUUCACUUAGUCUUGGCCCAGGUGUCG
rnacentral:lncRNA from 1 species